rnacentral:rRNA from 1 species
GAUGAACGCUGGCGGCGUGCCUAAUACAUGCAAGUCGAGCGAACAGACGAGGAGCUUGCUCCUCUGACGUUAGCGGCGGACGGGUGAGUAACACGUGGAUAUCCUACCUAUAAGACUGGGAUAACUUCGGGAAACCGGAGCUAAUACCGGAUAAUAUAUUGAACCGCAUGGUUCAAUAGUGAAAGACGGUUUUGCUGUCACUUAUAGAUGGAUCCGCGCCGCAUUAGCUAGUUGGUAAGGUAACGGCUUACCAAGGCAACGAUGCGUAGCCGACCUGAGAGGGUGAUCGGCCACACUGGAACUGAGACACGGUCCAGACUCCUACGGGAGGCAGCAGUAGGGAAUCUUCCGCAAUGGGCGAAAGCCUGACGGAGCAACGCCGCGUGAGUGAUGAAGGUCUUCGGAUCGUAAAACUCUGUUAUUAGGGAAGAACAAAUGUGUAAGUAGCUAUGCACGUCUUGACGGUACCUAAUCAGAAAGCCACGGCUAACUACGUG